rnacentral:lncRNA from 1 species
UUCCAUAUCACAGGAGCACAAUAGCGGGUAAACUAUUUUUUGGCUACAGCUCGAGCUUUUCUGCCGCCAACUACCACACUCACCUUAACACGAAAUGAAAUUUUGGCAAAUUCAACUCAAAUUACAGACCAGAUUGACGCGCCGUAGCAAGAAGCACCAGAUUUGUACUGCCGUAGGACUGAGCCGCCGCGGGGAGGUGCAGAUCUCUGCUGGAAUGCUCCAUCCUAG